rnacentral:rRNA from 1 species
GACGAACGCUGGCGGCGUGCUUAACACAUGCAAGUCGAACGAAGAGCGAUGGAAGCUUGCUUCUCUCAAUCUUAGUGGCGCACGGGUGAGUAACGCGUAAUCAACCUGCCCUUCAGAGGGGGACAACAGUUGGAAACGACUGCUAAUACCGCAUACGAUCCAAUCUCGGCAUCGGGACUGGAUGAAAGGUGGCCUCUAUUUAUAAGCUAUCACUGCAGGAGGGGAUUGCGUCUGAUUAGCUAGUUGGAGGGGUAACGGCCCACCAAGGCGAUGAUCAGUAGCCGGUCUGAGAGGAUGAACGGCCACAUUGGGACCGAGACACGGCCCAGACUCCUACGGGAGGCAGCAGUGGGGAAUCUUCCGCAAUGGACGAAAGUCUGACGGAGCAACGCCGCGUGAGUGAUGACGGCCUUCGGGUUGUAAAGCUCUGUUAAUCGGGACGAAUGGUUCUUGUGCGAAUAGUGCGAGGAUUUGACGGUACCGGAAUAGAAAGCCACGGCUAACUACGUG